UACGUAGGGGGCAAGCGUUGUCCGGAAUCAUUGGGCGGUAAAGAGCGUGUAGGCGGCUCGGUAAGUCCGCUCUGAAAGCCCGGGGCUCAACCCCGGGAGGCGGGCGGAUACUGUCGGGCUAGAGUCCGGAAGAGGCGAGUGGAAUUCCUGGUGUAGCGGUGAAAUGCGCAGAUAUCAGGAGGAACACCAAUGGCGAAGGCAGCUCGCUGGGACGGUACUGACGCUGAGACGCGAAAGCGUGGGGAGCAAACAGG
rnacentral:rRNA from 1 species